rnacentral:rRNA from 1 species
AUGUCGAUGAGCUUCCUGAGCAUGGUGGAGACGGAGCUGCCGCCGGGGUUCCGGUUCCACCCGAGAGACGACGAGCUCAUCUGCGACUACCUCGCGCCCAAGGUCACUGGCAAGGUCGGCUUCUCCGGCCGCCGCCCGCCCAUGGUCGACGUCGACCUCAACAAGGUCGAGCCAUGGGACCUCCCCGUGACUGCAUCGGUGGGCGGCAAAGAAUGGUAUUUCUACAGCCUAAAGGAUCGGAAAUAUGCGACGGGGCAGCGCACAAACCGAGCUACUGUGUCGGGAUACUGGAAGGCGACUGGGAAGGAUAGGGUGGUGGCACGACGAGGCGCCCUAGUGGGGAUGAGGAAGACAUUGGUGUUCUACCAAGGGAGGGCCCCUAAAGGGAGGAAGACUGAAUGGGUGAUGCAUGAAUACAGGCUGGAGGGUGCACAUGAGCAAGCUUCCAAGCAGGAGGACUGGGUCCUGUGCAGAGUCAUCUGCAAGAAGAAAUCAGGAGUUGGUGCCACCCCCAGGCCAAGGAACCUCACCAACAUCGUCCAUGGCACAUCCACAGACACCUCCUCACCACCACUGCCGCCUCUCAUGGACACCACCCUAGCACAGCUCCAGGCCACCAUGAACACCUCCGCCGCCGCCGCACUUGAGCAAGUGCCCUGCUUCUCCAGCUUCAGUAAUAACAGUGCCAGCAACAGCAGCUACCUCCCCAUGGUGACAGGCAACAGUAAUGGCAUGAGCUACCUGGACCAUGGCCUGCCUGACUUUGGGAGCUACCUAGACCCCGCCUUGAACUGUGACAAGAAGGUCCUUAAGGCAGUGCUGAGCCAGCUGAGCUCCAUGGGUGGUGAGGUGGUGCCGAGCAUGUCUCCUCAGAUGGCUGCUGCAGUGAGCUCUACUUGGAACCACUUCUAG